CUAGUGACCGAUAGUGAACCAGUACCGUGAGGGAAAGGUGAAAAGCACCCCGGAAGGGGAGUGAAAUAGAACCUGAAACCGUGUGCUUACAAGUAGUCAGAGCCCGUUAAUGGGUGAUGGCGUGCCUUUUGUAGAAUGAACCGGCGAGUUACGAUUUGAUGCAAGGUUAAGCAGUAAAUGUGGAGCCGUAGCGAAAGCGAGUCUGAAUAGGGCGUUUAGUAUUUGGUCGUAGACCCGAAACCAGGUGAUCUACCCUUGGUCAGGUUGAAGUUCAGGUAACACUGAAUGGAGGACCGAACCGACUUACGUUGAAAAGUGAGCGGAUGAACUGAGGGUAGCGGAGAAAUUCCAAUCGAACCUGGAGAUAGCUGGUUCUCUCCGAAAUAGCUUUAGGGCUAGCCUCAAGUGAUGAUUAUUGGAGGUAGAGCACUGUUUGGACGAGGGGCCCCUCUCGGGUUACCGAAUUCAGACAAACUCCGAAUGCCAAUUAAUUUAACUUGGGAGUCAGAACAUGGGUGAUAAGGUCCGUGUUCGAAAGGGAAACAGCCCAGACCACCAGCUAAGGUCCCAAAAUAUAUGUUAAGUGGAAAAGGAUGUGGCGUUGCCCAGACAACUAGGAUGUUGGCUUAGAAGCAGCCAUCAUUUAAAGAGUGCGUAAUAGCUCACUAGUCGAGUGACACUGCGCCGAAAAUGUACCGGGGCUAAACAUAUUACCGAAGCUGUGGAUUGUCCUUUGGACAAUGGUAGGAGAGCGUUCUAAGGGCGUUGAAGCAUGAUCGUAAGGACAUGUGGAGCGCUUAGAAGUGAGAAUGCCGGUGUGAGUAGCGAAAGACGGGUGAGAAUCCCGUCCACCGAUUGACUAAGGUUUCCAGAGGAAGGCUCGUCCGCUCUGGGUUAGUCGGGUCCUAAGCUGAGGCCGACAGGCGUAGGCGAUGGAUAACAGGUUGAUAUUCCUGUACCACCUAUAAUCGUUUUAAUCGAUGGGGGGACGCAGUAGGAUAGGCGAAGCGUGCGAUUGGAUUGCACGUCUAAGCAGUAAGGCUGAGUAUUAGGCAAAUCCGGUACUCGUUAAGGCUGAGCUGUGAUGGGGAGAAGACAUUGUGUCUUCGAGUCGUUGAUUUCACACUGCCGAGAAAAGCCUCUAGAUAGAAAAUAGGUGCCCGUACCGCAAACCGACACAGGUAGUCAAGAUGAGAAUUCUAAGGUGAGCGAGCGAACUCUCGUUAAGGAACUCGGCAAAAUGACCCCGUAACUUCGGGAGAAGGGGUGCUCUUUAGGGUUAACGCCCAGAAGAGCCGCAGUGAAUAGGCCCAAGCGACUGUUUAUCAAAAACACAGGUCUCUGCUAAACCGUAAGGUGAUGUAUAGGGGCUGACGCCUGCCCGGUGCUGGAAGGUUAAGAGGAGUGGUUAGCUUCUGCGAAGCUACGAAUCGAAGCCCCAGUAAACGGCGGCCGUAACUAUAACGGUCCUAAGGUAGCGAAAUUCCUUGUCGGGUAAGUUCCGACCCGCACGAAAGGCGUAACGAUUUGGGCACUGUCUCAACGAGAGACUCGGUGAAAUCAUAGUACCUGUGAAGAUGCAGGUUACCCGCGACAGGACGGAAAGACCCCGUGGAGCUUUACUGUAGCCUGAUAUUGAAAUUCGGCACAGCUUGUACAGGAUAGGUAGGAGCCUUUGAAACGUGAGCGCUAGCUUACGUGGAGGCGCUGGUGGG
rnacentral:rRNA from 1 species